AUUGAACGCUGGCGGCAGGCCUAACACAUGCAAGUCGAACGGUAACAGGAAGCAGCUUGCUGCUUUGCUGACGAGUGGCGGACGGGUGAGUCAUGUCUGGGACACUGCCUGAUGGAGGGGGAUAACUACUGGAAACGGUAGCUAAUACCGCAUAACGUCCCAAGACCAAAGAGGGGGACCUUAGGGCCUCUUGCCAUCGGCUGUGCCCAGAUGGGUUUAGCUAGUAGGUGGGGUAACGGCUCACCUAGGCGACGAUCCCUAGCUGGUCUGAGAGGAGGACCAGCCACACUGGAACUGAGACACGGUCCAGACUCCUACGGGAGGCAGCAGUGGGGAAUAUUGCGCAAUGGGCGCAAGCAUGAUGCAGCGAUGCCGCGUGUAUGAAGAAGGCCUUCGGGUUGUAAAGUACUUUCAGCGGGGAGGAAGGGAGUAAAGUUAAUACCUUGGCUCAGUGACGUUACCUGCAGAAGAAGCACCGGCUAACUACGUG
rnacentral:rRNA from 1 species